CCUACGGGAGGCAGCAGUGGGGAAUAUUGCACAAUGGGGGAAACCCUGAUGCAGCGACGCCGCGUGAGUGAAGAAGUAUUUCGGUAUGUAAAGCUCUAUCAGCAGGGAAGAAGAAAGACGGUACCUGACUAAGAAGCCCCGGCUAACUACGUGCCAGCAGCCGCGGUAAUACGUGGGGGGCAAGCGUUAUCCGGAUUUACUGGGGGUAAAGGGAGCGUAGACGGGUGUGCAAGUCUGGAGGGAAAGCCCAGGGAUUAAACCUUGUACUGCUUUUGAAACUGUGGAGCUAGAGUGCUGGAGAGGUAAGUGGAAUGCGUGGUGUAGCGGUGAAAUGCGUAGAUAUUAGGAUGAACACCAGUGGCGAAGGCGGCUUACUGGACAGUAACUGACGUUGAGGCUCGAAAGCGUGGGGAGCGAACAGGAUUAGAUACCCCAGUAGUC
rnacentral:rRNA from 1 species